UACGGGGGGGGGCAAGCGUUGUUCGGAAUUACUGGGCGUAAAGGGGACGUAGGCGGCCAACUAAGUCCGACGUGAAAUCCCUGGGCUCAACCCAGGAACUGCGUCCGAUACUGGUUGGCUUGAAUCCGGGAGAGGGACGUGGAAUUCCAGGUGUAGCGGUGAAAUGCGUAGAUAUCUGGAGGAACACCGGUGGCGAAGGCGACGUCCUGGACCGGCAUUGACGCUGAGGCGCGAAAGCGUGGGUAGCAAACAGG
rnacentral:rRNA from 1 species